rnacentral:rRNA from 1 species
GACGAACGCUGGCGGCGUGCUUAACACAUGCAAGUCGAACGAUGAAGCCGGAGCUUGCUCUGGUGAAUUAGUGGCGAACGGGUGAGUAACACGUGAGUAACCUGCCCUUGACUCUGGGAUAACUGCGGGAAACUGUAGCUAAUACCGGAUACGACCCUCGGAGGCAUCUCCUGGGGGUGGAAAGAAUUUCGGUCAAGGAUGGACUCGCGGCCUAUCAGCUAGUUGGUGAGGUAAAUGCUCACCAAGGCGACGACGUGUAGCCGGCCUGAGAGGGUCGCCGGCCACGCUGGAACUGAGACACGGCCCAGAAUCCUACGGGAGGCAGCAGUGGGGAAUAUUGCUCAAUGGGCGCAAGCCUGAUGCAGCAACGCCGCGUGAGGGAUGACGGCCUUCGGGUUGUAAACCUCUUUUAGCAGGGAAGAAGCGAAAGUGACGGUACCUGCAGAAAAAGCACCGGCUAACUACGUGCCAGCCGCCGCGGUAA